CGGGAUGACGGCCUUCGGGUUGUAAACCGCUUUUGAUUGGGAGCAAGCGAGAGUGAGUGUACCUUUCGAAUAAGCACCGGCUAACUACGUGCCAGCAGCCGCGGUAAUACGUAGGGUGCAAGCGUUAUCCGGAUUUAUUGGGCGUAAAGAGCUCGUAGGCGGUUCGUCGCGUCUGGUGUGAAAGUCCAUCGCUUAACGGUGGAUCGGCGCCGGGUACGGGCGGACUGGAGUGCGGUAGGGGAGACUGGAAUUCCCGGUGUAACGGUGGAAUGUGUAGAUAUCGGGAAGAACACCGAUGGCGAAGGCAGGUCUCUGGGCCGUCACUGACGCUGAGGAGCGAAAGCGUGGGGAGCGAACAGGAUUAGAUACCCUGGUAGUCCACGCCGUAAACGGUGGAUGCUGGAUGUGGGGCCCGUUCCACGGGUUCCGUGUCGGAGCUAACGCGUUAAGCAUCCCGCCUGGGGAGUACGGCCGCAAGGCUAAAACUCAAAGAAAUUGACGGGGGCCCGCACAAGCGGCGGAGCAUGCGGAUUAAUUCGAUGCAACGCGAAGAACCUUACCUGGGCUUGACAUGUGCCGGACGGCCGCGGAGACGCGGCUUCCCUUCGGGGCCGGUUCACAGGUGGUGCAUGGUCGUCGUCAGCUCGUGUCGUGAGAUGUUGGGUCAAGUCCCGCAACGAGCGCAACCCUCGCCUCGUGUUGCCAGCGGGUCAUGCCGGGAACUCACGGGGGACCGCCGGGGUUAACCCGGAGGAAGGUGGGGAUGACGUCAGAUCAUCAUGCCCCUUACGUCCAGGGCUUCACGCAUGCUACAAUGGCCGGUACAACGGGAUGCGACAUGGUGACAUGGAGCGGAUCCCUGAAAACCGGUCUCAGUUCGGAUCGGAGCCUGCAACCCGGCUCCGUGAAGGCGGAGUCGCUAGUAAUCGCGGAUCAGCAACGCCGCGGUGAAUGCGUUCCCGGGCCUUGUACACACCGCCCGUCAAGUCAUGAAAGUGGGCAGCACCCGAAGCCGG
rnacentral:rRNA from 1 species